rnacentral:rRNA from 1 species
UGGCAUCGAUGAAGAACGCAGCGAAAUGCGAUAAGUAAUGCGAAUUGCAGAAUUCAGUGAGUCAUCGAAUCUUUGAACGCACAUUGCGCCCUGUGGUAUUCCGCAGGGCAUGCCUGUUCGAGCGUCAUU